UGGCGGCCGUAGCGCGGUGGUCCCACCUGACCCCAUGCCGAACUCAGAAGUGAAACGCCGUAGCGCCGAUGGUAGUGUGGGGUCUCCCCAUGCGAGAGUAGGGAACUGCCAGG
rnacentral:rRNA from 3 species